UACAGAGGGUGCGAGCGUUGUCCGGAAUCACUGGGCGUAAAGGGCGCGUAGGCGGCUUGAUAAGCGUGCGGUGAAAGCCCGGGGCUCAACCCCGGGUCGGCCGUGCGAACUGUCGAGCUGGAGCACUGUAGAGGCAGGUGGAAUUCCGGGUGUAGCGGUGGAAUGCGUAGAGAUCCGGAAGAACACCGGUGGCGAAGGCGGUCUGCUGGGGCAGUUGCUGACACUGAGGCGCGACGAGCGUGGGGAGCAAACAGG
rnacentral:rRNA from 1 species